rnacentral:tRNA from 1 species
UCCCUGGUAGACCAGUGGUGGGGCCUCUGCCUUCCAGUGCAGGGGGUCCAGGUUCAAUCCCUGGCCUUGGAA